GAUUAUCAUAUUUAGGCAAACAGAAACCCAUAGUGACACCUUCCUGCAAGUACCACUGUGUUUCUAGUUCCAGAAGUACUUGGAAGCAUUCUGUGCCAUGAGCAGACUGGGCAAUUAACUGCUGCCAUUAAUGCCCUUAGCAGCUCUUUGCCUAAGGAGAAUUAUACUCAUCCUUGCUUCUCUACCUUCUUUUCGACAGGAGGCAAGAAGAAUGCUUCCCAGAGGGUAGUGUUGUAUUGAGAUUCUAACUGCCUUGUCUGCCACAUAUUGCAGAGUAGAAACAAGCUUCCACAACUGCACGACAAAAUACCUCUGCUUUCUGGGAUGAUCCUGGAAUAAGUGCGUCCUGACAUAACUGACUUGAAAUAAACAGAACUGAAUG